UACGGAAGGGGGCUAGCGUUGCUCGGAAUCACUGGGCGUAAAGGGCGCGUAGGCGGAUCUUUAAGUCGGGGGUGAAAGCCCAGGGCUCAACCCUGGAAUUGCCUUCGAUACUGAAGAUCUCGAGACCGGAAGAGGUAAGUGGAACUGCGAGUGUAGAGGUGAAAUUCGUAGAUAUUCGCAAGAACACCAGUGGCGAAGGCGGCUUACUGGUCCGGUUCUGACGCUGAGGCGCGGAAAGCGUGG
rnacentral:rRNA from 1 species